GAGUUUGAUCCUGGCUCAGAGCGAACGCUGGCGGCAGGCCUAACACAUGCAAGUCGAACGCCCGUGGCAACACGGGAGUGGCAGACGGGAGAGUAACACGUGGGAACGUACCCUUUGGUUCGGAACAACCCAGGGAAACUUGGGCUAAUACCGGAUAAGCCCUUACGGGGAAAGAUUUAUCGCCGAAGGAUCGGCCCGCGUCUGAUUAGCUAGUUGGUGGGGUAACGGCCCACCAAGGCGACGAUCAGUAGCUGGUCUGAGAGGAUGAUCAGCCUCACUGGGACUGAGACACGGCCCAGACUCCUACGGGGGGCAGCAGUGGGGAAUAUUGGACAAUGGGCGCAAGCCUGAUCCAGCCAUGCCGCGUGGGUGAUGAAGGCCCUAGGGUUGUAAAGCCCUUUCGGCGGGGAAGAUAAUGACGGUACCCGCAGAAGAAGCCCCGGCUAACUUCGUGCCAGCAGCCGCCGU
rnacentral:rRNA from 1 species